UUGCGGUUGGCCGGGUAGAGCCCGGCGCUCUCGAUGCCGGCGACCACCUCGUCCGGGUCGCCGCCCAGGACCGCGGCC
rnacentral:tRNA from 1 species